GUUUCUGUGAGUGUGAGUGUGUGUGUCUGUGAAUAUAUAUAUACGUAUAUAUAUAUGUAUAUAUAUGUGUAUAUAUAUAUAUAUAUAUAUAUAUACACACACACACACACACACACACGCGCGGCGUG
rnacentral:miRNA from 1 species